rnacentral:rRNA from 1 species
AUACGUAGGGGGCGAGCGUUGUCGGGAAUGAUUGGGCGUAAAGGGCGCGUAGGCGGCGCGGUAAGUCUGGAGUGAAAGUCCUGCUUUCAAGGUGGGAAUUGCUUUGGAUACUGCCGCGCUUGAGUGCAGGAGAGGUUAUCGGAAUUCCCGGUGUAGCGGUGAAAUGCGUAGAGAUCGGGAGGAACACCAGUGGCGAAGGCGGGUAACUGGACUGCAACUGACGCUGAGGCGCGAAAGUGUGGGGAGCAAACAGGAUUAGAUACCCUGGUAGUCCACACUGUAAACGAUGAAUGCUAGGUGUAAGAGGUAUCGACCCCUUUUGUGCCGGAGUCAACACAAUAAGCAUUCCGCCUGGGGAGUACGGCCGCAAGGUUGAAACUCAAAGGAAUUGACGGGG